rnacentral:rRNA from 1 species
GUAAACGAUGAGUGCUAGGUGUUAGGCCCUUUCCGGGGCUUAGUGCCGCAGCUAACGCAUUAAGCACUCCGCCUGGGGAGUACGACCGCAAGGUUGAAACUCAAAGGAAUUGACGGGGGCCCGCACAAGCGGUGGAGCAUGUGGUUUAAUUCGAAGCAACGCGAAGAACCUUACCAGGUCUUGACAUCCCAGUGACCGCUCUAGAGAUAGAGUUUUUCUUCGGAACACUGGUGACAGGUGGUGCAUGGUUGUCGUCAGCUCGUGUCGUGAGAUGUUGGGUUAAGUCCCGCAACGAGCGCAACCCUUAUUGUUAGUUGCCAUCAUUCAGUUGGGCACUCUAGCGAGACUGCCGGUAAUAAACCGGAGGAAGGUGGGGAUGACGUCAAAUCAUCAUGCCCCUUAUGACCUGGGCUACACACGUGCUACAAUGGUUGGUACAACGAGUCGCAAGUCGGUGACGGCAAGCAAAUCUCUUAAAGC